CGGCCCAGUAAGUCCUCCGUUAAAUCCACCUGCUCAACAGUUGGGCUGCGGAGGAUACUACAGGGCUAGGAGGCGGGAGAGGCAAACGGUACUCAAUGGGUAGGGGUAAAAUCCACUGAUCCAUUGAAGACCACCAGUGGCGAAGGCGGUUUGCCAGAACGCGCUCGACGGUGAGGGAUGAAAGCUGGGGGAGCAAACCGGAUUAGAUACCCGGGUAGUCCCAGCUGUAAACGAUGCAGACUCGGUGAUGGGUUGGCUUCGCGCCAACCCAGUGCCGCAGGGAAGCCGUUAAGUCUGCCGCCUGGGGA
rnacentral:rRNA from 1 species